UCCCCCUUAGCUCAGUCGGUAGAGCGCGUGGCUGUUAACCACUAGGUCCAAGGUUCGAGUCCUUGAGGGGGAGCCA
rnacentral:tRNA from 1 species